GUGCUCACUUUGGCAGUACAUAUACUAAAACUGGAAUGAUACAGAGAAGAUUAACAAGGCCUCUAGCAAGAAUGACACGCAAAUUUGUGAAGCAUUCCUUUUUUUU
rnacentral:snRNA from 1 species